GGCACGCCCGAAGUCGUUACUCCAACCCUUGUGGAGGAGGACGCCGAAGGUGGGGCUGAUGACUGGGGUGAAGCCGUAACAAGGUAGCCGUACCGGAAGGUGCGGCUGGAUCACCUCCUAACAGGGAGACAAAACUGAUUGUGAUGUCUGACCCACAUGUGGUCAGGCCAUGAUCCUGUCAUCUCUAGGUCGAUCGGUACCUCAAUUGAGGAGCAAAGAAUAGGGUAGCGAAAGCGAGCCUGUUGUUUGCAAGAUCAAUUCAGUUCCUGAACUUCGUCUAGGUCACCCCAGAGAGGGUUACAGAACUCCUGGGCCAUUAGCUCAGGUGGUUAGA
rnacentral:misc_RNA from 1 species